AUCCUGGCUCAGAGCGAACGCUAGCGGCGGGGCUUAACACAUGCAAGUCGAGCGCAUGGCUUCGGCCAUGAGCGGCGGACGGGUGAGUAACACGUAGGUCAUCUGCCUUUUGGUGGGGAAUAACCCAAGGAAACUCGGGGCUAAUACCGCAUACGGUCCACGGAUCAAAAGCCUUCGGGCGCCAGAAGAUGAGCCUGCGUCGCAUUACCUAGUUGGCGGGGUAACGGCCCACCAAGGGGACGAUGCGUAGCUGGUCUGAGAGGAUGAUCAGCCACACUGGGACUGAGACACGGGCCCAGACUCCUACGGGAGGCAGCAGUGGGGAAUAUUGCGCAAUGGGGGAAACCCUGACGCAGCCACGCCGCGUGGGUGGAUGAAGGCCUCGGUGUAAGACUCGUCGGGUAGGGACGGAAACGUAACGGUAACGGUAA
rnacentral:rRNA from 1 species